GAUCUCCCUGGAGAUCUGCUCCAUCAGAGCCUCUUUCAUGAUCCUAGGACAGGAGGAGAAUGAGGAAGAUGAGCUUGGAUUUACAUUCUAGCUAGCUGCAUUAGUUCUGUGAAGGAAGAAUACAAAUGAGUGCAGUUGAUGAAGGAGGAUGGUGAAGAAGGAGCAUAAUCUGCUUGUAAUGCAAAUGGACCAUGAGAUUGGAAUGCUCAAACAAAGAAUUUCAAGGAGCUGCUUACAUUGCUGAACUUCCAGUCUGAAGAACUGAAGAGACAUACUGUGCAAGUAAAUUAGCAGCACAACAGUGGAAAUGCUCACUGCAGAAAAUCAGGCAGAACCUGCUAGGACUUGAGGGUAUUUGCAUGUGUACCUAUUAUUGAAAAAGAGAUUUGAUCCAAAUUACUGUGUGAUUUGUGGAAACCUCUGCACCAAAUGACACAUCCACAGCUGCAGCUCUUAGUUACAACUAUUUUGCAUUCGCAGCCUGGUACCUGUUCUCAUGUAAUGCGUUAUUCUUGGCAUUUCACCAUUUCUGUCACUAUGUAUUGUACCAAUUAAGCAACCUGAAGCAAUUAUGCAAUGUAAUCAAGUACUAAAAUUUAUCACUUCACUGAUAAUUUUAAUAUGGGAAAGCCAUUCUGCUUUCUGAUAGCUUCAUUUGAUUUGAACUCCUUUGAAUAAUAAUGAGGUGAAAGAAAGGUCUCUGAGAUAGCGUAUUGUCUUGAAAGCCAAUCUGUGAAGUGGCACUACAGAUCUAGUUCUCCUAAUAAUUUAUUUCAAAUGGCAUUAAACUGUUUUUUGUGUUUUAUGGUGAGUGAAAAAAUA